AGGAUACCCUCACAUGCAGGGACCUUUGUUUUCAGGAAGUCCAACCCAGAGAUCCAGGCCUUCAUGAAGAAGAAAGGCUUUGGCCAGAACUUCAAGCAACUGGAGUCCUUCUACAUCCAGAAGCUGCUGAACAUCGCCUCCUCUUAUGGCAAGGGCUACGUGGUGUGGCAGGAGGUGUUCGAUAAC